rnacentral:rRNA from 1 species
AGUGAACGCUGGCGGUAGGCCUAACACAUGCAAGUCGAACGGCAGCACAGUAAGAGCUUGCUCUUACGGGUGGCGAGUGGCGGACGGGUGAGGAAUACAUCGGAAUCUACUUUUUCGUGGGGGAUAACGUAGGGAAACUUACGCUAAUACCGCAUACGACCUACGGGUGAAAGCAGGGGAUCUUCGGACCUUGCGCGAUUGAAUGAGCCGAUGUCGGAUUAGCUAGUUGGCGGGGUAAAGGCCCACCAAGGCGACGAUCCGUAGCUGGUCUGAGAGGAUGAUCAGCCACACUGGAACUGAGACACGGUCCAGACUCCUACGGGAGGCAGCAGUGGGGAAUAUUGGACAAUGGGCGCAAGCCUGAUCCAGCCAUACCGCGUGUGUGAAGAAGGCCUUCGGGUUGUAAAGCACUUUUGUUGGGAAAGAAAAGCAGCAGGUUAAUACCCCGCUGUUCUGACGGUACCCACAGAAUAAGCACCGGCUAACUUCGUG